UACGUAGGGGGCAAGCGUUGUCCGGAAUCAUUGGGCGUAAAGCGCGUGUAGGCGGUUCAGUAAGUCUGCUGUGAAAGUCCAGGGCUCAACCCUGGGAUGCCGGUGGAUACUGCUGGGCUAGAGUACGGAAGAGGCGAGUGGAAUUCCCGGUGUAGCGGUGAAAUGCGCAGAUAUCGGGAGGAACACCUGUGGCGAAGGCGGGUCUCUGGGCCGAUACUGACGCUGAGGAGCGAAAGCGUGGGGAGCAAACAGG
rnacentral:rRNA from 1 species